rnacentral:misc_RNA from 1 species
UUCGUAGAUUUCUGAUGAGAAGAGUGAAAAACUGAUAUUGCUGUUCCUUACCUUAGGGGGCAGUGAUUGAAGUGUGAGAGGGAGUCGUGCGGAGACCAAGGGGGAUGAAGUUGGGUGGUGAAGUAUUUGAAGUGGUGAAGUAUUUGAAGUGUAGGAGAGUCGUGCGAAGACCAAGACGGAUGGGGUGGUGAAGUAUUUGUAGUGAGGGAGAGUCGUGCGAAGGCCAAGAGGGAUAGAGGGUCGAGAAAUUUUGUGAAGAAAUUUUGUGAAGAAACUUUGUAGAAAUUUUGUGUUCAUUACUUUCGUGUUCAUUGCUUUCGUGUUCAUUGCUUUCGUGCUCAUUACUUUUGUGUACAAAUUUUGUGUGCUGUGUGUUUGUGCCUGUGUGUUUGUGCCUGUGCGUAGUGUGGUUUUGUGUUUUGUAUGGUCGAGGGUCGUGCCUCGCCCAAAUACAUUCGUAUGGCUUUCAUUUUGCCCUCUAUAUGAUUUCUCUGGUCCCUAAAACACCCCUCUAGUUGAUUCGGGAAGCAAAUUGUCGGGAGCGAUUUUUGAAUAGGUUCCCAAAGUUUUGCAUUCUUGAGUAAGCGCGAGAAAAAGAUAGAAACAGGAGGAAAAAGCGGGAGUGAAAAAUAUAAUAAAGUAGAAUGAUAUAUAAUAAAACAGCUAUAAAAUAUAAUAAAACAGCUAUAAAAUAUAAUAAAGCAGAAUAAAAUAUAAUAAAAAGUAAUAUAACAGCUUAAUACAACGCUUUUUUGUUUGGAUCUUUUGGCGCGCGCGGGCAGGAAAUUUUCCAGGAUUUUACGCAACUUUUGUGAGACUCCAGAAAAAUAAAUAUUUUCGCAGCAGGCAAUCUGCGCGGUUGCAGCAUUUUGCACCCGGAGGUACUAUAUGAGAGAGAAAUCUCUUAGGAAUAGUGAGAGCAUUUGUAUGAACUUUUCACAAGUUCACACAAUAUACCUCCGAAUUCCGAUGGAAUAAGAAGAUUUAUAUGAAUUUUAUAUAAACUUUAUAUAAACCUUAUAUAAACUCUUCCUAUUUCUUGGCCCCGCGAUUUAUCGCUCAAGUCUCGGGCUGACAACGUCUCCCCGAGCAAGGUGAAACAGUGGAUUACUAGGCAAUGCCAAAUCUACAAACUCACAGAUCUUUAGAUCUUUUUGCUACGAGUCAGUGGACAAUCUUUAAUUAAUAACUUCUUAUUAGUUAUCUGGUUG